GAUCAUGGCUCAGGAUGAACGCCAGCUACAGGCUUAACACAUGCAAGUCGAGGGGCAGCAUGGUCUUAGCUUGCUAAGGCCGAUGGCGACCGGCGCACGGGUGAGUAACACGUAUCCAACCUGCCGUCUACUCUUGGACAGCCUUCUGAAAAGAAGAUUAAUACAAGAUGGCAUCAUGAGUCCGCAUGUUCACAUGAUUAAAGGUAUUCCGGUAGACGAUGGGGA
rnacentral:rRNA from 1 species